UACAUAGUGGCCAAGCGUUGUUCGGAAUUACUGGGCGUAAAGGGCGCGUAGGCGGCCUGUUAAGUCGAACGUGAAAUCCCCGGGCUCAACCCGGGAACUGCGUCCGAAACUGGCAGGCUUGAAUCCGGGAGAGGGAUGUGGAAUUCCAGGUGUAGCGGUGAAAUGCGUAGAUAUCUGGAGGAACAUCGGUGGCGAAGGCGACAUCCUGGACCGGUAUUGACGCUGAGGCGCGAAAGCCAGGGGAGCAAACGGGAUUAGAUACCCCCGUAGUCC
rnacentral:rRNA from 1 species